GCCGUCUAAGGUAAAGUCGAUGAUUGGGGUGAAGUCGUAACAAGGUAGCCGUAUCGGAAGGUGCGGCUGGAUCACCUCCUUU
rnacentral:rRNA from 1 species